UACAGAGGUCCCGAGCGUUGUUCGGAUUCAUUGGGCGUAAAGGGUGCGUAGGUGGCGCUGUAAGUGGGGUGUGAAAUCCCGGGGCUUAACCCCGGGACUGCAUUCCAUACCGCGGUGCUUGAGGACUGGAGAGGAGACUGGAAUUUACGGUGUAGCAGUGAAAUGCGUAGAGAUCGUAAGGAAGACCAGUGGCGAAGGCGGGUCUCUGGACAGUUCCUGACACUGAGGCACGAAGGCCAGGGGAGCAAACGGG
rnacentral:rRNA from 1 species